AACGAACGCUGGCGGCACGCCUAACACAUGCAAGUCGAGCGCACUUAUGAUCUUCGGAUUAUAGGCGAGCGGCGGACGGGUUAGUAACGCGUGGGAACGUACCCUUUACUACGGAAUAGCCUUUGGAAACGAAGAGUAAUACCGUAUACGCCCUUUGGGGGAAAGAUUUAUCGGUAAAGGAUCGGCCCGCGUUAGAUUAGAUAGUUGGUGGGGUAAUGGCCUACCAAGUCUACGAUCUAUAGCUGGUUUGAGAGGAUGAUCAGCAACACUGGGACUGAGACACGGCCCAGACUCCUACGGGAGGCAGCAGUGGGGAAUCUUAGACAAUGGGCGAAAGCCUGAUCUAGCGAUGCCGCGUGAGUGAAGAAGGCCUUAGGGUCGUAAAACUCUUUCGCCAGAGAUGAUAAUGACAGUAUCGUGGUAAAGAAACCCCGCUAACU
rnacentral:rRNA from 1 species